rnacentral:rRNA from 1 species
GACGACCGCUGGCGGCGUGCCUAAUACUUGCAAGUCGAGCGAAGCGGCGGAUGGGUGAGUAACGCGUGGGAAACCUGCCCUUAAGUCUGGUAUAACAUUUGGAAACAGAUGCUAAUACCGAAUAAGAAAGGAUGGACCUACGAUGCAUUGGCCAGUUGGUAAGGUAACGGAUUACAAAGGCGAUGAUGCAUAGCCCAGUUGAGAGUAUGACCGGCCACAUUGGGAUUGAGACACGGCCCAAACUCGUACGGGAGGCAGCAGUAAGGAAUCUUCCACAAUAGACGAAAGUCUGAUGGAGCAAAGCCGCGUGAGUGAAGAAGGUUUUCGGAUCGUAAAGCUCUGUUGUUGGUGAAGCGGUAAUCAACCAGAAAGGCACGGCUAACUACGUGCCAGCAGCCGCGGUAAUUC